AGCAGUCGCCGCGGGAAUACGGAGGGGGCUAGCGUUGUUCGGAAUUACUGGGCGUAAAGCGCACGUAGGCGGCUUGGUAAGUUAGAGGUGAAAGCCCGGAGCUCAACUCCGGAAUUGCCUUUAAGACUGCCGAGCUAGUAUGUGAGAGAGGUAAGUGGAAUUCCGAGUGUAGAGGUGAAAUUCGUAGAUAUUCGGAAGAACACCAGUGGCGAAGGCGGCUUACUGGCUCAUUCUAGACGCUGAGGUGCGAAAGCGUGGGGAGCAAACAGGAUUAGAUACCCGGGUAGUCCCUGUCUCUUAUAC
rnacentral:rRNA from 1 species